rnacentral:rRNA from 1 species
AUGAUAAAAAGACUUGCAAAGCUUGAGUACCGAGAUGACACAAGUGUGAUUGAGCACUUGAAUGUCUUCCAAUGCCAUAUAAAUCAACUUUCAGCCAUGAAGAUCAACUUUGAGGAUGAGGUGCAAGCAUUGUUGCUGCUGAGUUCCAUGCCUGAUAGUUGGAACACGCUUGUUGUGUCACUUAGCAAUUCAGCUCCGGAUGGGAAGUUGACUUUGGAGAUGGUGAAGAACAGUAUGCUGAAUGAAGAAGCCAGAAAGAAGGAAAAGGGCGAUGCCUCUUCUUCUUAUGCGUAUGUGGCUGAAACCCAUGGGAAGAAUGAGAACCGUGAACGCAGCAAUACAAGAUUUCAACAAGGCAAAAACAAAUCCAGGGAUAGAUCAAAGUCAAAACAAAGAAAAGAUAUUACUUGCUUUCAUUGUGGCAAUCCGGACACAUAA